CAGCAGCCGCGGUAAUUCCAGCUCCAAAAGUGUAUAUUUAAGUUGUUGCGGUUAAAAAGCUCGUAGUUGGAUUCCGGGUUCGGGCGGUCGGUCCGUCGCAAGGCGUGCACUGGCCGUCCCGUCCUCACCUUCGGUGCUCCGCCGGUGCUCUUGACUGAGUGUCGGCGGUGGCCGGAACGUUUACCUUGAAAAAAUUAGAGUGUUCAAAGCAGGCGGUUCGCUUGCAUAAUGGUGCAUGGAAUAAUGAAAUAGGACCUCGGUUCUAUUUUGUUGGUUUUCGGAGCGCGAGGUAAUGAUUAAGAGGAACGGACGGGGGCAUCCGUACUGUGCCGUUAGAGGUGAAAUUCUUGGAUCGGCGCAAGACGAACGACUGCGAAAGCAUUUGCCAAGAAUGUUUUCUUUAAUCAAGAGCGAAAGUCAGAGGUUCGAAGACGAUCAGAUACCGUCCUAGUUCUGACUAUAAACGAUGCCGACUAGCGAUCGGGCAGCGUUACUUGAACGACCUGCCCGGCAGCUUCCGGGAAACCAAAGUCUUUGGGUUCCGGGGGAAGUAUGGUUGCAAAGCUGAAACUUAAAGGAAUUGACGGAAGGGCACCACCAGGAGUGGAGCCUGCGGCUUAAUUUGACUCAACACGGG
rnacentral:rRNA from 1 species